GCCAGAGUAGUGUUGUGGUUUGAGUGUUAGACUAUGACUCUGGAGACCAGGGUUCAAAUCUCUGCCUGGCC